rnacentral:rRNA from 1 species
GUCGAGGGGCAGCGGGGUUGUAGCAAUACAACUGCCGGCGACCGGCGCACGGGUGAGUAACACGUAUGUAACCUGCCCUCUGCAGGGGGAUAAGCGGAAGAAAUUCCGUCUAAUACCGCAUAAUACAAUUUGGAGACAUCUCCGGGUUGUCAAAGGAGUGAUCCGGCAGAGGAUGGACAUGCGGCGCAUUAGCUAGUCGGCGGGGUAACGGCCCACCGAGGCUACGAUGCGUAGGGGUUCUGAGAGGAAGGUCCCCCACACUGGUACUGAGACACGGACCAGACUCCUACGGGAGGCAGCAGUGAGGAAUAUUGGUCAAUGGGCGGAAGCCUGAACCAGCCAAGUCGCGUGAGGGAAGACGGUCCUAUGGAUUGUAAACCUCUUUUGCAGGGGAACAAGGCGCGGUACGUGUACCGCGAAGGAGAGUACCCUGAGAAAAAGCAUCGGCUAACUCCGUGCCAGCAGCCGCGGUAAUACGGAGGAUGCGAGCGUUAUCCGGAUUUAUUGGGUUUAAAGGGUGCGCAGGCGGACUGUUAAGUCAGCGGUAAAAUGUCGGUGCUCAACACCGGCCGGCCGUUGAAACUGGCAGCCUUGAGUGAGCGAGAAGUAUGCGGAAUGCGUGGUGUAGCGGUGAAAUGCAUAGAUAUCACGCAGAACUCCGAUUGCGAAGGCAGCAUACCGGCGCUCAACUGACGCUCAGGCACGAAAGCGUGGGUAUCGAACAGGCUUAGAUACCCUGGUAGUCCACGCAGUAAACGAUGAAUGCUCACUGUCUGGG